UCGGGUCUUCCAGGCCCCCGGCUUCCCAAGACGGUGUCCCGUCCAAGUCUGG
rnacentral:ncRNA from 1 species